CGCGUAGGCGGGUCGUUAAGUUGGGGGUGAAAGCCCAGGGCUCAACCCUGGAAUUGCCUUCAAUACUGGCGACCUUGAGUAUGGCAGAGGUGUGUGGAACUCCGAGUGUAGAGGUGAAAUUCGUAGAUAUUCGGAAGAACACCAGUGGCGAAGGCGACACACUGGGCCAUUACUGACGCUGAGGCGCGAAAGCGUGGGGAGCAAACAGGAUUAGAUACCCUGGUAGUCCACGCUGUAAACGAUGAGUGCUAGUUGUCGGUAUGCAUGCAUAUCGGUGACGCAGCUAACGCAUUAAGCACUCCGCCUGGGGAGUACGGUCGCAAGAUUAAA
rnacentral:rRNA from 1 species